rnacentral:pre_miRNA from 1 species
AUAGUCGGAUUGACAUCAAUCCAUAUGUGUUGGGGUGAAUUAAAGUGGAACUUGAACUAAAUUCCACUCCAAUCCACUCCCGCCCAUGUGGAUUAAAGUAUAUCCGAUA